GGAGCGGUAGUUCAGCUGCUUAGAAUACCGGCCUGUCACGCCGGGGGUCGCGGGUUCGAGUCCCGUCCGCUCCG
rnacentral:tRNA from 1 species